rnacentral:rRNA from 2 species
UACAGAGGGUGCGAGCGUUGUCCGGAAUCACUGGGCGUAAAGGGCGCGUAGGCGGCUGGCUAAGCGGGUGGUGAAAGCCCGGGGCUCAACCCCGGGUCGGCCAUGCGAACUGGUCAGCUGGAGCACGGUAGAGGCACAUGGAAUUCCGGGUGUAGCGGUGGAAUGCGUAGAGAUCCGGAAGAACACCGGUGGCGAAGGCGGUGUGCUGGGCCGUAGCUGACGCUGAGGCGCGACAGCGUGGGGAGCAAACAGG